rnacentral:scRNA from 1 species
UGGCUAUCUGCCCUGUGGGGUGCUGGCCCUAU